GACGAAGGUGGCGAGCGUUAUUCGGAAUUAUUGGGCGUAAAGGGCGCGUAGGCGGCCUGAUAAGUCAAAGGUGAAAUCCCUCGGCUCAACUGAGGAAUUGCCUUUGAAACUGUCAGGCUUGAGGCCGGGAGGGGGUGGCGGAAUUCCCAGUGUAGCGGUGAAAUGCGUAGAUAUUGCUCGGAAGGCCAACGGCGAAGGCAGGUUACUGGUGCGCAACUGACACUGAGGCACGAAAGCGUGGGGAGCAAACAGG
rnacentral:rRNA from 1 species